rnacentral:rRNA from 1 species
AGAGUUUGAUCAUGGCUCAGAAUCAACGCUGGCGGCGUGCCUAAUACAUGCAAGUCGAACGCGAAAGGGGCUUCGGCCCUGAGUAGAGUGGCAAACGGGUGAGUAACGCGUGGGUGACCUACCUUCGAGUGGGGGAUAACGUUCCGAAAGGAACGCUAAUACCGCAUGACAUCCUGUCUUUGGACAGAUGGCGAUCAAAG